ensembl:lncRNA
GCUAAAUUAGUAUGUCGUGAAAUAAAUAAAUAAAUAAAUAAAAAACCUUAAAUAUAUAUAAUCUGAAAGGAUGGAGGCAGCAGGGUUCAGUUCUCCGCAGGCAGUUUCAGCCUGGGGAUUCCUUGAUUGCGAAAUAUGCCUUCUACCCCUCCUCCCCGCGCCACCUUAAACUGAUCUCAUCAUGGUCUCUGAAGGAAGUUCCUACACAUACUCUGACACAGACUGGGCAGAACUGAUGCUUUUUUAGCACUGUUUUAGUCAUCUCUUCUCAUUUCCUGUCCUCAAAUGAGUGUGCAGAAAAACAUGUUUUCUUUAUUGGCUCUCAGUACCAAUUCACUUCAACUAAAAUGUGUCUACACAGCAACAAGGCCAGGGAAGAGCUAUAGGUUUCACAGGAAUUUCAUCAGCUUUUCAAGCAAACAAACAUACAAACACACACACAGAUAGAGAGAGAGAGAGAGAGAGAGAGAGAGAGAGAGAGAGAGAGAAAAGAAGGCCCUUGCAAAGCCCUGUCAGUGUCUCACAAAUUCCAUGUGUGUUGUGGCACAGAUUAAGUAACACAGAGAUUGAGGGUGUGUGAGAGAGAGAAUGAGAGAGAGCAUAACAUAGUGAGUCCAGAGAUGUAAUAAAGGCAAAGACGGUCCCUCAGGGAAUCAUGGUUGUGUGUGACCAAUAUGUUCUAUAUUUCUUCUUCUCUGUCUUUUAUCAUCACUUUAAUCCCCAAAAUUACCAGCAAAGCUUUUCUUGAAAUUUGAGCAUAUUUUCCAUGGUAUAAUCAUAUAAUAUACGGCGAGGACAGAAAUGAACAUGGCUGAGCUCAGAGUAAAUAUUUGAGGGGUUUUUUUCAGCUGUUUUAUAACACUGAGUAUGACUGGAGAAUUUGGGGCGAAAUAGAGGCCUGGUGGCUCCCUAGCAAAUCUGAGAAGCAAAUCUAAAUUGGUAAAAUUAAAUUUCCUCACACAGUGAUGGGGUGGUCUGAAUAUGUGCCUUUUGAGACAACUUAACGGGUAUGGAAGUGAAAUUAAAUGCUAUGUGAAGGGUGUUUAUAGCUUUCUUU